AACGGGAGAAUGACAAAUCAGAUUUUUCCUUCUGAUUUUCACAUUUUUUUCUCCUGGAAAAAAAUUCAAAUCCAACUAAAAAUACUAGAAAUUAAGAGAAAAAAUCUGAUUUGUCAUUUUCCCAUU
rfam:Gossypium raimondii Chr01_contig_273, whole genome shotgun sequence.